UACGAAGGGUGCAAGCGUUACUCGGAAUUACUGGGCGUAAAGCGUGCGUAGGUGGUUUGUUAAGUCUGUUGUGAAAGCCCCGGGCUCAACCUGGGAAUGGCAAUGGAUACUGGCAGGCUAGAGUGCGGUAGAGGGUAGUGGAAUUCCCGGUGUAGCGGUGAAAUGCGUAGAGAUCGGGGAGGAACACCAGUGGCGAAGGCGGCUACCUGGACCAGCACUGACACUGAGGCACGAAAGCGUGGGGAGCAAACAGGG
rnacentral:rRNA from 1 species